rnacentral:rRNA from 1 species
UACGUAGGUGGCGAGCGUUGUCCGGAUUUACUGGGCGUAAAGAGCGCGCAGGCGGCCAAGUCAGUCGAAUGUGAAAGCCCCCGGCUUAACUGGGGAGGGUCAUUCGAUACUGCUCGGCUCGAAGACAGGAGAGGGAAGUGGAAUUCCCGGUGUAGUGGUGGAAUGCGUAGAUAUCGGGAGGAACACCAGUGGCGAAGGCGGUUGCCUGGAGCUUUGCUGACGCUGAUGCGCGAAAGCGUGGGGAGCGAUCCGG